GCCGGAGGCAAGCCCAGCCACCGGUGAGGCUUGGCCUCGCCAGAUCUGGUGAGAUCGAGCCUCGUCGGGGCUGGGCAAGCCUUGCGA
rnacentral:pre_miRNA from 1 species